ACGAGGUGGUGGCAUGGUUGUCGUCAGCUCGUGUCGUGAGAUGUUGGGUUAAGUCCCGCAACGAGCGCAACCCUCGACCUUAGUUGCCAGCAUUCAGUUGGGCACUCUAAGGUGACUGCCGGCUAAAAGUCGGAGGAAGGUGGGGAUGACGUCAAAUCAUCAUGCCCCUUAUGACCUGGGCUACACACGUGCUACAAUGGGCGGUACAAAGGGUCGCGAACCCGCGAGGGGGAGCCAAUCCCAAAAAGCCGCUCUCAGUUCGGAUUGCAGGCUGCAACUCGCCUGCAUGAAGCCGGAAUCGCUAGUAAUCGCGGAUCAGCAUGCCGCGGUGAAUACGUUCCCGGGCCUU
rnacentral:rRNA from 1 species